GCCCAAUUGGGCAGAGGAUCCUCCUCACGCCGUGACUGCCUUCUUCAAGGAGAGAGGCUGCAGAUCACAGUGAAAGGUUUUGGCAUAGCAGUCUAUAAAUUGGGAAACCUAACACUACUACAACGCUGUUGAUGUUCCACUGUAACUACUGGACUAGCUCUUGAGCCAAGACAUGGCAGGUUCCAUCGCACCGACAGAAGUACAGGCCUCCUGGCUCCUGUCCUGCUGGAGAAAUUCCUGCUAGCAGAGGAUACAAAAUCAUAAACAUGAGCAACCUGUGCUGGGACCGUCCUUGAAUCCAUCUUGGGAGUUAAGGUGCCAGGCACUGGGUGGCUUCCCCCCAUGUGCAGCUGCAGGUGGGCAGAGUUAGCCAGCCCCAGAGGCUGACCCUCGGAUUGUUAUGGUGUGCUGACCUACCCAUGAUUACAUGUAACCCCAUACCCUCUGUUUGUAACCAAUCAUGGUGGAGCAUGCCUCUUGCUAGCAUGCAUGUAAGUCUCUGUAUCAUGGAAAUAAAGCUGACUGUGACCAUCUAA